AAGUCGUAACAAGGUAACCGUAGGUGAACCUGCGGUUGGAUCAUUAAAAAUUUUAAUAGCCUCUCAUUGUUAGUGUAAGUGGGAUACCGCCGAAAGCAAUGAAUGUUGGCACCACAUUUUGUGCACUGUAACGUCUUUGGUGGUUGGGCGGUUUGUCUUUUUGUGACACUCUCGUCUGUCAGCUUGGGUUUAUCAUAAUCCUCGCCGUGGACACGCCACCGUUUGUCUUUCAACCUAUGUUUUCAUGAAUUGUCUGACUACUUGUAUUUAAAAUAUACAAACAACUUUUGGCAACGGAUCUCUUGGUUCUC
rnacentral:misc_RNA from 1 species